rnacentral:lncRNA from 1 species
GGACUAUAUUAGUAAUUCUGUAUAUGCAAAUAAACAAAGAGCCAAGGAGGGAUAUAGAUGUAUUUUGUCCUUAAUUUAUCUAUUCAUGAACGUGGUUAGAAACUGUACGAUAAAAGAAAAAAAAGGAAACCAAGCCUUACAAAGAGACUGAUGCCUUAUCCCCUGACAUGCAGCUAAGAAGCAGAUCUUACUUGGCUUCAGACUUCGAGCACAAAUGAACCCAAAUGGAUUCAACUUUACUGAACUAUGUAUCGUUUAUUUUGUUACUGAAAUAAGAAUAUCAGGCAACUGGAAAUCAAUGAAUUGAUUUAAAUGUUUUCAGUUGAAAAUAUAAAAUCUUCUUAAAAUAUAUAUUUCUUCUGUUGGUUGACUUGGCUUUGUGUUGCAAACUAUGGUUCAUCUGUUCUUCCAGUUGCACUAGUACCGCCAGGCUAAACAUUCUUC